AUGACCAAGCCCAUGGCGCGCGGCGGCCGCUCAGGUGACUGGGACGGCUCCAACGUCCACGAGGAUACCGUCUCUCAGCGCAGAAGCAACAUCUUGCAGUCACCUGCUACACACGAGACAGAAAACCGUCUCUCAACAGUACCUUCGCUAAUUCUAGCUAUAUAUAUGGCUUCCAACGCGAGCAUGUUGGCCGUGAUCAUGGCGUGCGCGCUCCUCCUCGCCGGCAGCACGUGCCACGCCGCCCGCAACCUGGCCGGCACGACGCUGGCGGGUGCCGCUCCGGCUGCUAGCGCCGUCCCUGGCCUGCCGGCCGUGCCGACCUUGCCUGCCGUGCCCACGGACACGGUCACCCUGAUGCCGCCCGUGCCGUCGGUCACUCUCCCCACCGUGCCGCAGGUGAUGCUGCCGCCCAUGCCCGCCAUCGUCGUGCCCAAGGCGGUCCUGCCGCCCAUGCCCAAGGUCACCCUACCCACCGUGCCGCAGGUGACGAUGGCGCCAAUGCCCGCCAUUGUCGUGCCCAAGGUGACGCUGCCGCUGUUGCCGUUCGUCCCGAAUGUGAAUGUGCCUAUGCCGUUCGCGGCACCACCCCCGUCAGCGUAG
rnacentral:rRNA from 1 species